CGACUCCGUGAAGCUGGAUUCGCUAGUAAUCGCGCAUCAGCCAUGGCGCGGUGAAUACGUUCCCGGGCCUUGUACACACCGCCCGUCAAGCCAUGGAAGCCGGGGGCGCUUGAAGUGCGUUGCCGCAAGGCGCGCCCUAGAGCGAAACCGGUGACUGGGGCUAAGUCGUAACAAGGUAUC
rnacentral:rRNA from 1 species